rnacentral:rRNA from 1 species
UACGUAGGGGGCUAGCGUUGUCCGGAAUCAUUGGGCGUAAAGCGCGUGUAGGCGGUCCGGUAAGUCCGCUGUGAAAGUCGAGGGCUCAACCCUCGAAUGCCGGUGGAUACUGUCGGGCUAGAGUGCGGAAGAGGAGAGUGGAAUUCCUGGUGUAGCGGUGAAAUGCGCAGAUAUCAGGAAGAACACCCGUGGCGAAGGCGGCUCUCUGGUACGUGACUGACGCUGAGACGCGAAAGCGUGGGGAGCAAACAGG